CACCGUUUGAUCAACUUUUUCAUCUUCACUUUUUCUUUGGCUAUGCUACGAGACUGUGAGUAUCUUAGCAUCGUGGCCGUUAGAAUGGUCGUCGGCUCUAAGCAUCCCUCGGGUUCGCUGGUCUGUUGCUAACUCCCAAGACCAUUUGUUCCUACUCCUGUGAAAUUGGUGAGUUGUAUCCUACUCCGAUGAAAUCAUACAUUCUCCGAUGAGGUGAAAUCUCUCAUUUUCCUGUCUUGUGAUCAACUCGGUCGCUGUGCUUCUCACUUGUUGCCUCCAACCUAGUUUUCAUUAUAUUCUAGGGUUUCUCCAAUGAAAUCAAUCACUUGAAGAGGAUUUCGAAGUUGUCGCCGGAAUGAGUUUAACUUGCAGGAAAAAUUGCGUGGAUUCAAAUGGAAUCAAUUUAUAAGUUUUUUGUAGUAUAGAUCUAAAUAAUUUUAAUAAUACAAUUACCUACUGAACAUGUAGCGAAGUGCUACAAAAACAAUAACAUGGGAAUACCAAGGCCUGGCAAGUGAUUUACAUUGCGUUUGGUAACAAAAUUAAUUAAUUUA